rnacentral:misc_RNA from 1 species
AAAGUCGUAACAAGGUUUCCGUAGGUGAACCUGCGGAAGGAUCAUUAACGAAUGCGAAACAAUUCGCGGUAAUUUGACCGUGGCCGCCUCGGUGGCCACGGGAAGUCCACACCCGUGCACACAGCGUGAGUGUCUCCCGACAGGGGAGGCGUUCCGCUCCCCUUUACAUUUAACAACGCCUGUAACGAAGCAUGUCUAACGGAGCUCUACGGAGUGCCAAUACUAUAAUACAACUUUCAACAACGGAUCUCUUGGCUUUC